rnacentral:rRNA from 1 species
UACGUAGGGCGCAAGCGUUGUCCGGAAUUAUUGGGCGUAAAGAGCUCGUAGGUGGUUUGUCGCGUUGUUCGUGAAAACUCACAGCUCAACUGUGGGCGUGCGGGCGAUACGGGCAGACUUGAGUACUGCAGGGGAGACUGGAAUUCCUGGUGUAGCGGUGGAAUGCGCAGAUAUCAGGAGGAACAUCGGUGGCGAAGGCGGGUCUCUGGGCAGUAACUGACGCUGAGGAGCGAAAGCGUGGGGAGCGAACAGG